rnacentral:rRNA from 1 species
UCAUUAAAUCAGUUAUCGUUUAUUUGAUAGUACCUUACUACUUGGAUAACCGUGGUAAUUCUAGAGCUAAUACAUGCUAAAAACCCCAACUUCGGGAGGGGUGUAUUUAUUAGAUAAAAAACCAAUGCCCUUCGGGGCUCCUUGGUGAUUCAUAAUAACUUAACGGAUCGCAUGGCCUUGCGCCGGCGACGGUUCAUUCAAAUUUCUGCCCUAUCAACUUUCGAUGGUAAGGUAUUGGCUUACCAUGGUUUCAACGGGUAACGGGGAAUUAGGGUUCGAUUCCGGAGAGGGAGCCUGAGAAACGGCUACCACAUCCAAGGAAGGCAGCAGGCGCGCAAAUUACCCAAUCCCGACACGGGGAGGUAGUGACAAUAAAUACUGAUACAGGGCUCUUUUGGGUCUUGUAAUCGGAAUGAGUACAAUUUAAACCCCUUAACGAGGAACAAUUGGAGGGCAAGUCUGGUGCCAGCAGCCGCGGUAAUUCCAGCUCCAAUAGCGUAUAUUAAAGUUGUUGCAGUUAAAAAGCUCGUAGUUGAACCUUGGGCCUGGCUGGCCGGUCCGCCUCACCGCGUGUACUGGUCCGGCCGGGCCUUUCCUUCUGGAGAACCCCAUGCCCUUCACUGGGUGUGUGGGCGAACCAGGACUUUUACUGUGAACAAAUUAGAGUGUUCAAAGCAGGCCUUUGCUCGAAUACAUUAGCAUGGAAUAAUAGAAUAGGACGUGCGGUCCUAUUUUGUUGGUUUCUAGGACCGCCGUAAUGAUUAAUAGGGAUAGUCGGGGGCAUCAGUAUUCAAUUGUCAGAGGUGAAAUUCUUGGAUUUAUUGAAGACUAACUACUGCGAAAGCAUUUGCCAAGGAUGUUUUCAUUAAUCAGUGAACGAAAGUUAGGGGAUCGAAGACGAUCAGAUACCGUCGUAGUCUUAACCGUAAACUAUGCCGACUAGGGAUCGGGCGAUGUUUCUAUCUUGACUCGCUCGGCACCUUACGAGAAA